ACGUAGGGUGCGAGCGUUAAUCGGAAUUACUGGGCGUAAAGCGUGCGCAGGCGGUUUGUUAAGAUAGGCGUGAAAUCCCCGGGCUCAACCUGGGAACUGCGCUUAUGACUGGCAGGCUAGAGUACGGCAGAGGGGGGUGGAAUUCCACGUGUAGCAGUGAAAUGCGUAGAGAUGUGGAGGAACACCAAUGGCGAAGGCAGCCCCCUGGGUCGAUACUGAGGCUCAUGCACGAAAGCGUGGGUAGCAAACAG
rnacentral:rRNA from 1 species